rnacentral:rRNA from 1 species
AAUCGAACUCGGAGAUAGCUGGUUCUCCCCGAAAUAGCUUUAGGGCUAGCGUUAUUUUAGAUUACCGGAGGUAAAGCACUGAAUGGUCUAGGGGCCGCGAGGUUACCAAAGCCUAUCAAACUCUGAAUGCCGGAUAAUUGAUGAAUAGCAGUCAGACUGUGUGAGAUAAGUCUCAUAGUCAAAAGGGAAACAGCCCAGAUCUACAGCUAAGGUCCCAAAUGAACACUAAGUGGAAAAUGAUGUGAAACUGCGAAGACAACCAGGAUGUUGGCUUAGAAGCAGCCACUCAUUCAAAGAGUGCGUAAUAGCUCACUGGUCGAGUGGUUUUGCGCAGAAAAUGUAACGGGGCUAAGUGUUCAACCGAAGCUUAGGCAUUGCAGUAAUGCAUUGGGUAGGGGAGCGUCGUAUGCGGGGCGAAGUCAGAGCGGAAGCACUGGUGGACUGCAUACGAGUGAGAAUGCCGGAAUAAGUAGCGAGAAUUAUGUGAGAAUCAUAAUGGCCGAAAAUCUAAGGUUUCUUGGGGAAGGUUCGUCCGCCCAAGGUUAGUCGGGAGCUAAGCUCAGGCCGAAAGGCGUAGGCGAUGCACAUACGGUAGAAAUUCCGUAACCACCGAACAUUUAAGCUAGAGGGACGCUUUCUUUAAGGUUAUCCCGGGCGAUGGUUGCCCCGGGCGUAAGGGACCGAAAUAUAGUAGGGAAGUAACUGGCGAGAGAGACGAGAAAAGCUCUAGUGUAUACUAAGGUGCCCGUACCGCAAACCGACACAGGUAGAUGGGAUGAGUAUUCUAAGGCCAACGGGAGAAGGGUUGUUAAGGAACUCGGCAAAUUGGCCCCGUAACUUCGGGAUAAGGGGCGCCUGCGAGAGCAGGCCGCAGUGAAAAGGCCCAAGCGACUGUUUAGCAAAAACACAGCUCUCUGCUAAAUCGAAAGAUGACGUAUAGGGGGUGACGCCUGCCCGGUGCUGGAAGGUUAAGGGGAGUGCUUAGCGCAAGCGAAGGUGCGAACUUAAGCCCCAGUAAACGGCGGCCGUAACUAUAACGGUCCUAAGGUAGCGAAAUUCCUUGUCAGGUAAGUUCUGACCCGCACGAAUGGCGUAACGAUUUGGGCACUGUCUCAACAGCCCGCCCGGCGAAAUUGUAGUACCGGUGAAGAUGCCGGUUUCCCGCAACUAGACGGAAAGACCCCAUGGAGCUUCACUGUAGCUUGAUAUUGGAUCUCGGUAUUCCAUGUACAGGAUAGGUGGGAGGCUAGGAAGCGAGCGCGCCAGCGUUCGUGGAGCCAACCUUGGGAUACCACUCUUGGGAUAUUGGGAUUCUAACCUGCGACCAUGAAUCUGGUCGGGGGACACUGUCAGGUGGGCAGUUUGACUGGGGCGGUCGCCUCCAAAAGAGUAACGGAGGCGCUCAAAGGUUCGUUCAGCACGGAUGGAAAUCGUGCACUGAGUGUAAACGCAUAAACGAGCCUAACUGCGAGAAUGACGGUUCGAGCAGUAACGAAAGUUGGAGUUAGUGAUCCGGCGGUAUGUGAAUGGAAAUGCCGUCGCUCAACGGAUAAAAGCUACCCUGGGGAUAACAGGCUGAUCUCCCCCAAGAGUCCACAUCGACGGGGAGGUUUGGCACCUCGAUGUCGGCUCAUCGCAUCCUGGAGCUGAAGUCGGUUCCAAGGGUUGGGCUGUUCGCCCAUUAAAGCGGUACGCGAGCUGGGUUCAGAACGUCGUGAGACAGUUCGGUCCCUAUCUGUUGCGGGCGCAGGAAUAUUGAGAGGAGCUGUCCUUAGUACGAGAGGACCGGGAUGGACGUACCGCUGGUGCACCAGUUGUUCUGCCAAGGGCAUAGCUGGGUAGCUAAGUACGGACGAGAUAAACGCUGAAGGCAUCUAAGCGUGAAACUCCCCUCGAGAUAAGUGUUCCCAUCCUUCGGGAGUAAGGCCCCUUGU